UGAAACUCCUACAUCAAAUCUUGGUGAAAGUCUAGUGAGCUCAAAAGAGAAGAUUGAUAUUGAGAUGGGAGGAGGAGGAAGGAUUGUUGAUGAGGGUGGAAAAACUUACUCACUCCCUGAGAUUCUCAGGAAUCUAAACUAUGAAGACCUUGACGAUGACUGUGAGGAAGAUGACUUGAAGGCCAAGGAUCAUCACCACCACCUCCACCAUCAUCAUCAGAAUGAGGAAAUCAUCCCUCCUUUUGACCCUUUCUUCACCAAUGACAAUGGUGUUAACAAGGAUGAGAAAAAUGGACAAGAAUCAAGAGGAUCUUCAAGUGAUAAUGGAGAUUCAGGGAAACACGUUGGAGUCUCCACUGAUGAUGAAGAAAAAGCUGAAGGGUAUGAACAAAAAUGGAGUAUGGACAGUGUCAUGAACAUAAACGCAGGAUCUGAAGAUGGAGCAAGCUCUCCUCAAUCUACUUCCCCAAUGCUUCGUAAAUAGAGGUAAUGAAAAUUAAGGAUUAUCCCUCUCUGUUCUGUGUUGCCUUGCUUUACAAGAUACCAUUUUUUUUUACUAACACUGUCUUUGUUAAAAAAUGAAGGGCUUGAAGCUGGAGAAGUGGAGAAUGUUCUUUGUCAUUCUUUUAACUGUGUUUCAUAUAAUUGUGGAGAAAGAAAAAUCCAGAGAAAUAAUAAACAUUGUAGGUUUUGUGCGUUUGAGGUGUAUUAGUUUUUUGUUUUCAUUUUAGUUGUAUUUAUAUUCACAUAUUUUUGUUAUUAAAAUGAUUUGGACCACGAAUUGUAAUGUAUACGAUUGUACUUGAAUAUUAUUUUCUUUUUAUUUAUUUGUUGGUUGAUUGAUUUUCAUUUUCCAUGUGUUAUUUCUCUUCUAGGCAUAGGCAUGUGCGUUCGGGUUUCGGGUUUACAGUCAAAGGUUCUAAUUUAAUUUUUUUUAGAGCGGAUCGGUUUUAGAUAAUAUCACUUCAGGUUUAGUUCAAAAUUGUGUUGCAUUGUAAAAUCUAUAAAGUAAUCAAAUAUCUGUCGGUUUUAAGUUUUUUGGUUCGGUUCGGAUUAUACUAAAAUAACAUACAAAAUUAUGAAACAGAUCAUGUGAAACAUAAUCCUUAAUCUGAAAUGAAAACUACUAGGCACACAUCCAAUCCGAAAAGGACACUCCAUAGUUCAAUAAAACCAAAAAAACAACAUUCCAUAGUUCAAUCACAGCCGAAACAACAAUAUUCGAUAGUCGAAUAAUACCUGAAGAAAACAGUGAAAUGACUAGAGUCCAUUAAUUCUUAUACACCUGGAAAUUUGGGUUGCGAUAAAAACGAGUUAUGCAAAUUAAUGCAAAAAGUUACAAGAAACCUUCACCAUUAUGCAAAUAUAAUCAUCAAACAUGAAAAUCUUCAAAAGGCAACUCAUAACAGUGUAAUUAGACGUGAAUCCUUAGAAAACAAGUAAAAUUAUCAACAGUAAAAUUGUCUAGAUAAUAUUUGUGAUAGUUCACAAUAUCAUAACUAACUAGCAUUGAAUAAAUCAUAUAGUAUACUUCAGUUUCCAUAAAAUAAUAUUUUAUAUAAAUAAUUUCAAAUUUAUGUAGUUUAUUUACGAUAAAAAUUUGUUUUAGUGCAAUUUGAAAUUAUUUCUCAAGUUAUAUUUUAAUUUUAAUUUUUUUGUUAUUAAGCAGAUUGUCCCUUAGAACUUGCAUGAAAAUUUUAUAGUAAAUAAACAAUAGGUGAUACACUUGGUGAACUCAAGCAGUUGUACCAAUCAAAUCACUCUCUUUCAACUUAACUUUUCCUUACAGAUUUCUCUUUUGAGACCUGGAAGAUGAACGUUCACAAUGUAAUGCUCCCAAUCAAUGCUUUUUAUAUCGAACUCAAAUAUUUUUCUCUCUUCCAUUGACAUCUCCUGAAUAAGACUCCUCGUAUUGGUGUCAUCAAACCUAGGAUAUUGACCAAUAUUCAGUAAUUUAAUAAAUAAAAAAAGUCCAAGCUUGUUACUUACCGAGCUUUAAAAAAUGUGUAAGGCUCAUAUGUUCUUGCUAAGGACACAAAAUAGUUUAGUAUCCCUCUUCCCUUGAAGCUCAAUGUGGUAUGUGACUCUUCUGCUUCUCCUCCUUCAUUCUUAGUUCCUCUUUCCUGUUUUGCUAUUAUGUCGAAUACAGAAGAGGUGAAGCUCUCUAAGGAACUAUGGAAUUUCAUUCGCGCUAAGUCUAUCACUGUCAAUGGAAAGUCAUACAGAUGUUGAUAACAGAGGUCCAUCAACUCGGCAACUCGUAGGGGAUUCGCAUGAGAAGAAGUGACAUUGUAAACUUUGAACUCGGAGAAACCACAACCAUGCUUUGCCAUUGCUGCUAUAGUUGCGUUCACAACCAUAUCAACAGGUAUAAUGUCCGCGAAAGAUUGAGAAUCUCCCCAGAGGCCAGAAAUCUGGCCUUUGCCAUAGGCCAAGAUUAUUGGAUCACUCAUCCUGAUUUUUAGAAACCAUAAAAACAUGAAUCAAGAGCUGAUCUAAUCCCUUAGUCUUUAACAAUGAAAAUCUUUAACCUUAUUCCUUGGAGCCAGCCAGGGAAAGGCUCCUUGUAAGAGCUUUCUAUAAUGCUAGGCCUUAUGAUCGCUACAGGCACAUCUUCUCGCAUGGUUUGGAUUAAUGGGUUUCUUAUAAAUGAAAAUAAUUAGAAAAAAUAAAAAAGCAAAUAAAUGGAUGAGAGAGACAAGAGAACGUCUCUUCUCUUAAGGGCAACCCUAUUAAUGGGAUCUAAACAAGUAUCCAACAGUGAAAACAGUGAAAAAAAUUGAAAAAGGAGGAGAGGGACAAAGAAAUGACUCUGGUUUUAGAACCUCAACAAAAAAAACCAACAUAGUUUUUGUCUAUAUGUUGCUUCAUGAUUAGCUACAUCAUUAUUUGUGAUUUAAAAUUAAUUAUUAACUAAAUUAAAUUCAAUUAGAAACCCAUGGAACUGCUUAACGAGGAGACUUUGUCCAAAGUUACAAGAGACGCUUGCCAUUUGUCUAUUAUUUAUUGGCUUAUUUUUUUUGAUAUUAAAAUUUUUGUUUGAGAAACUGUGUAAAGUUUGGAUCACUGCAGGUGCCCUAAUAAUGUGCAGAGAGUAUUAUUUCCCCUUCAUCCUCACCUUUGGAUACCAAGUUCUUUCAGAUUCUUGAUUUCUCCACUGCCAUGCAACUUUCUCACAGCUUCUGAAGCUAAUUUCAGCUCAUGUUCGAUGUUCAAGUCAGAAGUUAUAUUUUCUCCAUUAGAUUUUUAGUUGGCCGACUUUAAACAAUUAAUUAAAAUUAAUCUUAAAGUAAACAAGAAACUGAGAUCCCUUCUUACAGACAUCCUUCUCGCAUAAUCAGUUUUCUUAAUUACAUACCAUGUCCGACCAUUAUCUCAUGAUCUCAAGCAAAUUAAAAAAACAUUUUCUUUUUCGAAAAAAAUAAAUAAAGAAAGAGAAGAUAGAAGAGAGAAAGGGAUCGCAAUUUGCAAACAUCUGUAAUAAUUAUUCUUUGUGAUUUCGAGAGGAGAGGACAGCUCCAAUCUUUCUGUCUCUCUCCCUCUCAAUCAAGUGUAUUGAAAUUGUGAAUCUUUCUUCGGAGGAAACAAGAGAUUUGUCCUGUUUCUGGGAUUUUUUGUCCUGAUUUGAUCCCAUCUCUGACACCUUUGUCUAUAGAUGGUUUUCUGAUUCUGGGUUCUUCCAAAUUUCUUAACUUUGUUGUUUGUUCCUCCUCCUUUAGUUAUGGCUUGGAAUGAGACCAAACUCAAGAGGCUCUAUCAAGUUUGGAGAGGAAGCAAUGUAAGUUCUUGUCUAAUGUCGCUUUGGUGUUUGAUUCAUAUACUCUAUAGGUUCAGUGGUUGUUAGUAUCUUUGAGUCUUGAUUGGUUCAUAUAUAGAAACUUCAGGUUCUUAAUUUGUGAUUUUGACUUUGAUUUUUCUCCAGAAAUUUCUUUGUGGAGGGAGGUUAAUCUUUGGUCCAGAUGCAUCAUCUCUAUACCUAUCGACCAUCUUGAUCCUCGGUCCCUCGGUGAUGUUCUUUGUAAAAAUGUACUUGAAAAUGGCUGAUCCUCUCACCAAGAAUCGAAACCUCUGUGUUCCAAUUCUCUCUGUCGCUUGGAUACUCACCCUUUUGGUAUGUCUUCUUCUUUCCCAUCUCUGUAGAUGAUGACGACUUUAUUGUCUUAAUGUAAACUAAAGCUUCAAUAGUUUUCUUUCAGGACAUAUUUUUCCUCUUCAUGACAUCUGGUAGAGAUCCUGGGAUUGUGCCUAGAAGUCUUAGACCUCCUGAAUCAGAUGAUGUACCUGACUCAACUACUCCUUCCAUGGAAUGGGUUAGCGGUAGAACCCCAAAUAUAAGGCUACCAAGGGUUAAAGAUGUAACUGUUAAUGGCCAUACCGUAAAAGUCAAGUUCUGUGAUACUUGUUUGCUUUACCGUCCACCUAGAGCUUCUCAUUGUUCCAUCUGCAACAACUGUGUACAGAGGUUCGACCAUCACUGCCCUUGGGUUGGCCAGUGCAUUGGAGUGGUAAGUCAGAAAACAUAUUCUCGAGUACUAUGUUGUCUAUGUGUUUUGAAAUUGUUUUUAACUCUUUGCAGAGAAACUACCGGUUCUUCUUCAUGUUCAUAUCAACAUCAACCACUCUGUGCGUAUAUGUGUUUGUGUUCUCUUGGUUGAACUUAUUCCAAAGACAUAUGGAUGAGAAGAUUACCAUCUGGAAAGCAAUAUCCAAAGAUGUUCUGUCUGAUAUUCUCAUUGUUUACUGCUUCAUUACCGUUUGGUUUGUUGGUGGGCUCACUAUAUUUCAUUCCUACCUCAUCUGCACUAACCAGGUGAUUAGAAAUAUAACCAUCCUUUGUGUUUCUCUCUCUCUCUUUUUGUGUGUUCUAAUUCUGAAUGUGUUUUUGUGCAGACUACUUAUGAGAACUUCCGUUACCGAUAUGAUAAGAAGGAGAAUCCAUACAACAAAGGAGUUUUGGGGAACAUAAGGGAAAUAUUUCUAUCUAAGAUUACUCCAUCCAUGAACAAGUUUAGAUCAUUUGUGAAAGAAGAAGAUUACAUGAUGGUUGAAACUCCUACAUCAAAUCUUGGUGAAAGUCUAGUGAGCUCAAAAGAGAAGAUUGAUAUUGAGAUGGGAGGAGGAGGAAGGAUUGUUGAUGAGGGUGGAAAAACUUACUCACUCCCUGAGAUUCUCAGGAAUCUAAACUAUGAAGACCUUGACGAUGACUGUGAGGAAGAUGACUUGAAGGCCAAGGAUCAUCACCACCACCUCCACCAUCAUCAUCAGAAUGAGGAAAUCAUCCCUCCUUUUGACCCUUUCUUCACCAAUGACAAUGGUGUUAACAAGGAUGAGAAAAAUGGACAAGAAUCAAGAGGAUCUUCAAGUGAUAAUGGAGAUUCAGGGAAACACG
rnacentral:lncRNA from 1 species